rnacentral:tRNA from 1 species
AGUUUUAUAUUCAAUAUAAUGAUAUUAAAUUGCAAAUUUAAAGUAGUAAAAAGAUUACUAAAACUU